rnacentral:rRNA from 1 species
UACGUAGGGUGCGAGCGUUGUCCGGAAUUAUUGGGCGUAAAGGGCUCGUAGGCGGUCUGUUACGUCGGGAGUGAAAACUCGGGGCUCAACCCCGAGCCUGCUUCCGAUACGGGCAGACUAGAGGUAUGCAGGGGAGAAUGGAAUUCCUGGUGUAGCGGUGAAAUGCGCAGAUAUCAGGAGGAACACCGGUGGCGAAGGCGGUUCUCUGGGCAUUACCUGACGUGAGGAGCGAAAGUGUGGGGAGCGAACAGG